rnacentral:rRNA from 1 species
UAGGGAAUCUUCCACAAUGGACGCAAGUCUGAUGGAGCAACGCCGCGUGAGUGAAGAAGGUUUUCGGACCGUAAAGCUCUGUUGUUGGUGAAGAAGGAUAGAGGUAGUAACUGGCCUUUAUUUGACGGUAAUCAACCAGAAAGUCACGGCUAACUACGUGCCAGCAGCCGCGGUAAUCGUAGGUGGCAAGCGUUGUCCGGAUUUAUUGGGCGUAAAGCGAGCGCAGGCGGAAGAAUAAGUCUGAUGUGAAAGCCCUCGGCUUAACCGAGGAAUUGCAUCGGAAACUGUUUUCUUGAGUGCAGAAGAGGAGAGUAGAACUCCAUGUGUAGCGGUGGAAUGCGUAGAUAUAUGGAAGAAUACCAGUGGCGAAGGCGGCUCUCUGGUCUGCAACUGACGCUGAGGCUCGAAAGCAUGGGUAGCGAACAGGAUUAGAUACCCUGGUAGUCCAUGCCGUAAACGAUGAGUGCUAAGUGUUGGGAGGCUUCCGCCUCUCAGUGCUGCAGUUAACGCAUUAAGCACUCCGCCUGGGGGAGUACGACCGCAAGGUUGAAACUC